rnacentral:rRNA from 1 species
UGAAGGGCGGGCUGGAACCUCUCGGGGUUACAGCCCUUGGCUGAAUUAUUCACCCUUGGUCUUUUGCGUACUUCUUGUUUCCUUGGUGGGUUCGCCCACCACUAGGACAAACAUAAACCUUUUUGUAAUUUGCAAUCAGCGUCAGUAACAAAUUAAUAAUUACAACUUUCAACAACGGAUCUCUUGGUUCUGGCAUCGAUGAAGAACGCAGCGAAAUGCGAUAAGUAGUGUGAAUUGCAGAAUUCAGUGAAUCAUCGAAUCUUUGAACGCACAUUGCGCCCUUUGGUAUUCCAAAGGGCAUGCCUGUUCGAGCGUCAUUUGUACCCUCAAGCUUUGCUUGGUGUUGGGCGUCUUGUCUCUAGCUUUGCUGGAGACUCGCCUUAAAGUAAUUGGCAGCCGGCCUACUGGUUUCGGAGCGCAGCACAAGUCGCACUCUCUAUCAGCAAAGGUCUAGCAUCCAUUAAGCCUUUUUUUCAACUUUUGACCUCGGAUCAGGUAGGGAUACCCGCUGAACUUAAGCAUAUCUAAACGGGGAAA